CCUACGGGCGGCAGCAGUGGGGAAUAUUGCACAAUGGGCGCAAGCCUGAUGCAGCCAUGCCGCGUGUGUGAAGAAGGCCUUCGGGUUGUAAAGCACUUUCAGCGGGGAGGAAGGCGGUGAGGUUAAUAACCUCAUCGAUUGACGUUACCCGCAGAAGAAGCACCGGCUAACUCUGUGCCAGCAGCCGCGGUAAUACGGAGGGUGCAAGCGUUAAUCGGAAUUACUGGGCGUAAAGCGCACGCAGGCGGUCUGUCAAGUCGGAUGUGAAAUCCCCGGGCUCAACCUGGGAACUGCAUUCGAAACUGGCAGGCUAGAGUCUUGUAGAGGGGGGUAGAAUUCCAGGUGUAGCGGUGAAAUGCGUAGAGAUCUGGAGGAAUACCGGUGGCGAAGGCGGCCCCCUGGACAAAGACUGACGCUCAGGUGCGAAAGCGUGGGGAGCAAACAGGAUUAGAUACCCUAGUAGUC
rnacentral:rRNA from 1 species